rnacentral:tRNA from 1 species
GCUCCCUUCGUCUAGUGGCCUAGGACGCCGGCCUCUCACGCCGGUAACAGGGGUUCGACUCCCCUAGGGAGCGCCA